rnacentral:lncRNA from 1 species
CAGAGCUGAUGUUAAUAGAAAAAAAAUUGAAGCAGGCUGGAAAAGUUGAAAAGAAAACACUGAGUGCUGAGCCAAGGGGCUGAGCCUGGAGCAGCCCAUGCUGCAUGCAUUGUGACGCUGGCUGUGGGACACUGCCUGUCCCACUCUGCCCUGCUGUGUCCUACCAUGUCCUGCUAUGCCCUCUGCCUUCAAAGAAUCCCAUCAGAUGGGGCUGAUGUGGGGAGCUGACAGGGCAGAGCUUCAGUGCUGGGGAGCAGGUGCAGUGCUCUGGAGACUAAGCAGAUUUCCAUCCUGGUCCCAAGUGUGAGGAGUUGCUAAGAGCCUGAGCAGAGUGGGAGCUACAAGCUAGAGAUUACCCAGGAAAUUUAGGGAAAAUCAGCAAGAAGUGGCAAAGGUGCAGAAACCACAACGUCCAGCUGAAGCAGCAGAGGGGUGCGUUCUGUACGGUCAGACAUCAGCCCUGAAAGUGCCAAGGAGAUCCAAUGCCCCCCACUUCAUCUGGAAAGUGCACCCUUUGGACCAGGGAGCAGAACAGCAUAAGUUAUCACAGACAUCGCGGCCGCUUUGGAACCACGGUCCCCCACCCAUCCCAACGGCAAACCUGGGACCCGUGGGCUGACCCUGAAGUGGAGAGGACACAGCAGCCCAAAGCAGCGUGGUGGUUUGAGGGCUUUGGGUCCCUUCCUUUCUUCCAUCCCCAGUCCCACUGAAGCACAGCUGGGAGCGAUGCGCAGAAGAUGCGCCUUCCACUGCAUUCACCUAACCCCAAACUUCCCCACUGGGGGAGCAUCAUACAACUUCUUCCAUGAACAGAGCAUCUGUGGAGCCCUCAGGCUUCACCUUUAACUUGUCCAUACAAUUGGAGAGCGAACGUGUGCUCUGUGGUGAUCAGAUUGUGGAUCAGUAUGGAUAUCAUCACCACCUGUUUUCCAACCAACCCUCCAUCCUCAAUCCCACUCCCUUGCCUGGGAAACCAACCGGUGGCAUUUUUUUACCCAACAAAAUACUUUUUAAAUGAUUUGUUGUGAUCGAAUCACUCCAUUCCCCCCACUCCCCCUCCUCCCAAAUACCACAAAGCAUUAAAAUCCCCUACUUCAAUAUCCUUUAUCCUUUAAGGUUCUUUAUAAUUCAAUAAACAGGAUUUCAAAUCCUCCCAACCUAGGAUGGACUUGUUCUGCACUGCCGUUCCGGGCCACUCUUCUAAUGCACACUCUUAUUAAGCCGUGCAAGCUUACAGCUCUUUAAUCUUUUUGAACACAUGUUGAGAAGAAUAAAAGCAAUUUUGUUUGGGAAACUGAAGGCCAUGUUCAGCUGGAAAUAAGCUUUUUCUCUAAUCUCACCUCUUGCUUUGCAGGGUUACCCAGUAACCCCGGCAGGCACCGCCUCGCCCCAUUCAUUUCCUCUCUCUCUUUUAAUUGUGGGAGGGGAGAAUUAAGCAAAAAAAAUCCCAAUUUUGGCUCUUUUUCCCCCAACGUCGGUACAUUUCUGCCCUCCAAAUAAUCUCAGAUCUGGGCUUCUUUUGGCUCGGAGCUAAUCUGGAUGUAAUUCCCCUACCUCUGCCCUUGGCAACGCACAAGUACAGAUUAGAGGGUUAUAUAAAUGUAAUUUUCUAAUUAAUCAUUUCGGAGCCAGCCGCCGCGGCG